AGUUGUAUCUUGUAAUCCUUUUAGUGGAUUGAAUUCUCAAGUAGAGACUUGAGGAGUGGAUAUAGGUACAAGAUUGACAUCGAACCACUAUAAAUCUCUUAUGUUUGUUGUGCUUGCAUCUUUUUUUUUAUUCUUUAUGCUUUAUACUUGCUUACUUGUUAUUUAUGGUUGAUUUCAUUCUCUUAGCUAAUCUAUUUACUCCACUCAAC
rnacentral:lncRNA from 1 species